UACGUAGGGUGCGAGCGUUGUCCGGAAUUAUUGGGCGUAAAGAGCUUGUAGGCGGUUUGUCGCGUCUGCUGUGAAAUUCCAGGGCUUAACCCUGGGCUUGCAGCGGGUACGGGCAGACUAGAGUGUGGUAGGGGGAGACUGGAAUUCCUGGUGUAGCGGUGAAAUGCGCAGAUAUCAGGAGGAACACCGAUGGCGAAGGCAGGUCUCUGGGCCACUACUGACGCUGAGGCGCGAAAGCGUGGGGAGCAAACAGG
rnacentral:rRNA from 1 species